CCUACGGGAGGCAGCAGUGAGGAAUCUUCCACAAUGGACGAAAGUCUGAUGGAGCGACACCGCGUGAAGGAUGAAGGUCUAACGAUUGUAAACUUCUUUUCUGAGGGAGCAUAAUGAGAGUACUUCAGGAAUAAGGGACGGCUAAAUACGUGCCAGCAGCCGCGGUAAUACGUAUGUCUCAAGCGUUACCCGGAAUCACUGGGUGUAAAGGGUUCGUAGGUGGAAUUUUAAGUCAGGUAUGAAAGACCGGAGCUCAACUCCGUGUUUGUAUUUGAAACUGGAGUUCUAGAAUUAGGGAGAGGUAAGCGGAAUUCUAAGUGUAGGGGUGCAAUCCGUAGAUACUUAGAAGAACACCAAAAGCGAAGGCAGCUUACUGGAACUAUAUUGACGCUAAUGAACGAAAGCGUGGGGAGCAAAAAGGAUUAGAUACCCUGGUAGUC
rnacentral:rRNA from 1 species